rnacentral:rRNA from 1 species
CGAACGCUGGCGGCGUGCCUAAUACAUGCAAGUAGAACGCUGAAGGAGGAGCUUGCUCUUCUGGAUGAGUUGCGAACGGGUGAGUAACGCGUAGGUAACCUGCCUGGUAGCGGGGGAUAACUAUUGGAAACGAUAGCUAAUACCGCAUAACAUUGACUAUUGCAUGAUAGUCAAUUGAAAGGUGCAAAUGCACCACUACCAGAUGGACCUGCGUUGUAUUAGCUAGUUGGUGGGGUAACGGCUCACCAAGGCGACGAUACAUAGCCGACCUGAGAGGGUGAUCGGCCACACUGGGACUGAGACACGGCCCAGACUCCUACGGGAGGCAGCAGUAGGGAAUCUUCGGCAAUGGACGGAAGUCUGACCGAGCAACGCCGCGUGAGUGAAGAAGGUUUUCGGAUCGUAAAGCUCUGUUGUAAGAGAAGAACGAGUGUGAGAGUGGAAAGUU